UCCUUCUUAGCUCAGUUGGUAGAGCGCGUCACUAGUAAUGACGAGGUCAGUCGUUCAAAUCGGCUAGAAGGAA